AUUGAACGCUGGCGGCAGGCCUAACACAUGCAAGUCGAGCGGAUGAAGGGAGCUUGCUCCUGGAUUCAGCGGCGGACGGGUGAGUAAUGCCUAGGAAUCUGCCUGGUAGUGGGGGAUAACGUCCGGAAACGGGCGUUAAUACCGCAUACGUCCUGAGGGAGAAAGUGGGGGAUCUUCGGACCUCACGCUAUCAGAUGAGCCUAGGUCGGAUUAGCUAGUUGGUGGGGUAAAGGCCUACCAAGGCGACGAUCCGUAACUGGUCUGAGAGGAUGAUCAGUCACACUGGAACUGAGACACGGCCCAGACUCCUACGGGAGGCAGCAGUGGGGAAUAUUGGACAAUGGGCGAAAGCCUGAUCCAGCCAUGCCGCGUGUGUGAAGAAGGUCUUCGGAUUGUAAAGCACUUUAAGUUGGGAGGAAGGGCAGUAAGUUAAUACCUUGCUGUUUUGACGUUACCAACAGAAUAAGCACCGGCUAACUUCGUG
rnacentral:rRNA from 1 species